UUUAAUUCGAUGAUACGCGAGGAACCUUACCUGGGCUUAAAUGUACGAUGCAUAAGUGUGAAAGCACUUUUUCCGUCGGGACUUUGUACAAGGUGCUGCAUGGUUGUCGUCAGCUCGUGCCGUGAGGUGUCGGGUUAAGUCCCAUAACGAGCGCAACCCCGUAUUGUUAGUUACCAGCGCGUAAAGGCGGGGACUCUAGCGAAACUGCCGGUUGUAAACCGCGAGGAAGGUGGGGAUGACGUCAAAUCAGCACGGCCCUUAUGUCCAGGGCUACACACGUGUUACAAUGGCCGGUACAGCGGGCAGCGAGGCAGCGAUGCCGAGCGAAUCUCGAAAGCCGGUCCCAGUUCGGAUUGGAGUCUGCAACCCGACUCCAUGAAGGUGGAAUCGCUAGUAAUCGCGCAUCAGCCAUGGCGCGGUGAUACGUUCCCGGGCCUUGUACACACCGCCCGUCAAGCCAUGGAAGUCUGGGGUGCCUGAAGGCCGUAACCGCGAGGAGCGGUCUAGGGUAAAC
rnacentral:rRNA from 1 species